rnacentral:rRNA from 1 species
AUUGAACGCUGGCGGCAUGCCUUACACAUGCAAGUCGAACGGCAGCACGGAGCUUGCUCUGGUGGCGAGUGGCGAACGGGUGAGUAACAUAUCGGAACGUACCCUAGAGUGGGGGAUAACGUAGCGAAAGUUACGCUAAUACCGCAUACGAUCUAAGGAUGAAAGUGGGGGAUCGCAAGACCUCAUGCUCGUGGAGCGGCCGAUAUCUGAUUAGCUAGUUGGUAGGGUAAAAGCCUACCAAGGCAUCGAUCAGUAGCUGGUCUGAGAGGACGACCAGCCACACUGGAACUGAGACACGGUCCAGACUCCUACGGGAGGCAGCAGUGGGGAAUUUUGGACAAUGGGCGAAAGCCUGAUCCAGCAAUGCCGCGUGAGUGAAGGAGGCCUUCGGGUUGUAAAGCUCUUUUGUCAGGGAAGAAACGGUGAAAGCUAAUAUCUUUUGCUAAUGACGGUACCUGAAGAAUAAGCACCGGCUAACUACGUGCCAGCAGCCGCGGUAAUACGUAGGGUGCAAGCGUUAAUCGGAAUUACUGGGCGUAAAGCGUGCGCAGGCGGUUUUGUAAGUCUGAUGUGAAAUCCCCGGGCUCAACCUGGGAAUUGCAUUGGAGACUGCAAGGCUAGAAUCUGGCAGAGGGGGGUAGAAUUCCACGUGUAGCAGUGAAAUGCGUAGAUAUGUGGAGGAACACCGAUGGCGAAGGCAGCCCCCUGGGUCAAGAUUGACGCUCAUGCACGAAAGCGUGGGGAGCAAACAGGAUUAGAUACCCUGGUAGUCCACGCCCUAAACGAUGUCUACUAGUUGUCGGGUCUUAAUUGACUUGGUAACGCAGCUAACGCGUGAAGUAGACCGCCUGGGGAGUACGGUCGCAAGAUUAAAACUCAAAGGAAUUGACGGGGACCCGCACAAGCGGUGGAUGAUGUGGAUUAAUUCGAUGCAACGCGAAAAACCUUACCUACCCUUGACAUGGCUGGAAUCCUCGAGAGAUUGAGGAGUGCUCGAAAGAGAACCAGUACACAGGUGCUGCAUGGCUGUCGUCAGCUCGUGUCGUGAGAUGUUGGGUUAAGUCCCGCAACGAGCGCAACCCUUGUCAUUAGUUGCUACGAAAGGGCACUCUAAUGAGACUGCCGGUGACAAACCGGAGGAAGGUGGGGAUGACGUCAAGUCCUCAUGGCCCUUAUGGGUAGGGCUUCACACGUCAUACAAUGGUACAUACAGAGCGCCGCCAACCCGCGAGGGGGAGCUAAUCGCAGAAAGUGUAUCGUAGUCCGGAUUGUAGUCUGCAACUCGACUGCAUGAAGUUGGAAUCGCUAGUAAUCGCGGAUCAGCAUGUCGCGGUGAAUACGUUACCGGGUCU